rnacentral:rRNA from 1 species
UACGUAGGGUCCGAGCGUUGUCCGGAAUUACUGGGCGUAAAGGGCGCGUAGGCGGACAGUUAAGUCGGGGGUGAAAGCCCGGGGCUCAACCCCGGAAUUGCCUUCGAUACUGGCUGUCUUGAGUUCGGGAGAGGUGUGUGGAAUGCCGAGUGUAGAGGUGAAAUUCGUAGAUAUUCGGCGGAACACCAGUGGCGAAGGCGACACACUGGCCCGAUACUGACGCUGAGGCGCGAAAGCGUGGGGAGCAAACAGG